CUGUUAAUAAUAUCUUCCUUCUUUUCCAUGCAUCUUGUCUUGUAGGAGUAUACUUUCCCUUCCCCACAUCAAGCCUAAAAUCUGUUUAAGGUGAUAUUAGAGGAAGAAAAAGCAAAAAGAAACAAGGGGUAUAGCCAACCUUUUUAAUUAGAGUAUAUUGUACUUCCAAACUGGAUACACUAGAAAUUGGCAAUGCAACAUAAGAUGCAAAGGAAUAUACCAGUUACUGUCAAAAUGACCCUGUACAGCCUUAUAAUGCAAAAAGCUUUAUACAAUACAAACUUUAAUAAUGUACACAGACCUUGACAGAAUGAUAUUUGAACAUAAUACACCAAGUAAAAAAAUACAGAAGAAAGAAAAAAGUGCUGAGAACUUUAACUGAAGUACUGAAUGGAAAAACACACUAGCCUUCAUUGAAGAAUGCAUAGGGAUAAACUAUUAUGAAAUUAGCUUUAUGGUGGGGGGAAUUUUUCAGAACUGUUGGUCUUUAAUAGGUAGGGGAUAUCUCCGGAACACAUUCCUUUCUUUAGUCUUGAACUGCAAACCAAUUAUGUUAAUAUGCAUGAGCUCUGAUAAAUACUGUAUUUUUUUCUUAAAAAAAUAAAAACCUCCUAACACACUUUUCCUUACAGAGAAAACUUCUAUGACGUACCAGAAAGAAUGAAUUUAUCCUUUCCAAAGUGCUAAACAAACUUCCCAGGUAUAUUAGACAUUACUAUGUCAGGUACUGGUACAGUGGAACGUUGUUGAACAUGUGGCAUUCGUGUGCUGACAGCUCAUUCUUGGAACUUCCAGCCUUAUUUAUAUUGCAGUUUGGUUUACAGAAAGCAUCCUAGUAAUAUUCGUACUUCCUCCUAGACAGCUGUACUUUCCCUGUUGGUUUGAAAAAAAAGCUUUUUGCUUUGGAAGUGUUUGCUUUACUAUGGUGGGGUCAGAGAUAUAUGCAUCGAGUGUAUUUUAUAGGACUGGUAUAGUUUCUGGGUGCAGAUUGCAUAUUUCAGGCUGUUGAGAUACUCAGUUGUUUAUGUUUUGUGUAUUUACUAAUACACCACUUUCUAUUUUGUCUGUACUCCCAGGGGGGUUACCAGGAGUUCCGAUGGCAAAGAGGGCCCUGAGUUGUGUUGUUACUAGAAUUUUUAUAUUUACUUUGGAACAGAUGGCUUUUCUCUACUGCACAGACAGGCAGAACUGCCAUAUGCUCAGUAGAACCAAAAUUUUCUGCUGGAAUGUAAACAAAAUGGUGGGACUUCUCUGCCCUUUAAUUCAUUAUUCCAAAUAAUAACCUGCUCCUAUUUUGGAUGUUUCCCCUUUGUAAAUAGCUUUGAGGAUGUUAAACAGGAGUGCAUAAAUGAGGACGUCCUCCCUGAACAGGAAGACUUUGGUCAUGCCUGUGGAGAGUGUUUGGCCAUCUCAGUGCAAAACAAAUGUAGGAAUCUUCUACAUAAAUAAAACGAUGCAAGUUCUGCAUAAAAACAAAACAAAACAAAAACCUCUACAUAAGCUUCAUUUAAAAAAUGAAGAAGAUUGAGAUUGUUUCUACGUGUGUGUGUGUGUGUGUGUGUGUGUGUGUGUGUGUGUGUGUGUGUGUGUGUGUGUGGCUCAGAGCCUUUGUGGACCAGAAAUGCCUUCCUGAACCAGGAUAUUGCGUUACUGCUGUCCAAACAAGGGGCUGGCUCCAACUGGCCUGCUGAGCUCCCUCCUUUCCACAGCACCCUGCAGAAGUAGUUGCUUUGGAACAGCAUGAGAGUGGGUAAGUAAGUAGCACAUCAGAUGUGAUCCAGCGCAUCGCUUACAAUGGCUUGGCCAAGAGGAAGAGAAGGACUGAAAAAAGUGAGGAGGUCAGACAUCUCCAAUACCUGCUGGUGAAAGACAGCAAGAUCUAAUUCCAAGAGACACCAUGGAGAACAGUAAUCCAGUAAGAAAGUAUUCCUGUAAGUCCUGUGGUAAUUUUGAAAUGUUUCAUAUUUUAUAUUUCCAAUUUUAAUGCAGAGGAUUUUUCAUCCUGAUCUUUAGAUAAGUUGUCUAAGGAACAAAUCAAUUAACAGACAGUUUCUCUUCUUUCACAUCACUGUUGUCAUUUUGAGAUUAACAAAGGUUAUACAACCACUCUGCAUUUGCUUCUUCCUGCAAUAAAGUGCCACAUAUAACAUGUCAUUUUUAAUGACCACAAAGUAAGAGCAUUAAAUAAGUACAAAGUUAGCUUCCUAGCAGUGUAUGCUCUAUCAGCCAUUAACAGAAAGGAAUAAAGUAUUACUAACAAUGUGGAGGGUAUUGAUAGGACCGUAGAAUCUGCAAGUACAAUUGAAAUAGUGAGGAUAUAAAAGAGAACUGUAUCUUUCAAACAGUAUCUUUUUUAUAGCUUUAUAUUUCAAAGUUAUUGGUACCUUUUCAAAUAUACAGUCUUAUUACUUUCAUCCUGUAGAAUCUUUUUUUUUUGCAACUGAGAAACAAACUAGUGCAAGACUAAAGCACUGUGCAAAUCUGCCUUUUUUUUUUUUUUAGUCUGAGUAUUUAUACCCAGAAUUUAUCCAUACCCUUUGUAAAAUCCCCUUUGUUGGAUUUUUUUUUUCCACCAUAGAUUUCUCGUUAUACAAGUUGUUCCUGCAAACUAAAAGAUGUCUCCCUUGCCAGCUGAUCUGCAUUCACCGUUUAGCCGCUCUGCCAAUUAUGCUCUGUCAUUUAAGGUAAUUUCUAAGCUGAUAUCCUCUCACUUUGUUUUCACUCACUACAACUGAUUGCACUUGCAGGUUCAAUUUUAUCUUGCUACUGAUGGAGAGAUCUUUGAGUGAGUGCAGCAAAUAACAGAGAAGGACAAACAAACAGAAGUAAAAUAUCCAGACACUUUUCCUGAUGCAGCACCAAGUACUCUGAUCCAGAGAGGGAACCUGGCACUGAGGCUGCUAAAGUGGUUAGCUCUACUGCAACAGAGAACUCAGCCGUCUAUGCGCACAUACCUCUCCUGAGCUGGGUGCUCUCUGGAUCAGAAUCUCAGAUUUUGAUCUGGAACUGGAGGAAUCAUGUUUUUUUUUUCUCUUCCCCCACAGCAAACAGGAAACAGAAAAAUACAAUUUAC
rnacentral:lncRNA from 1 species